AGAAGAAAAAGGAGAGAGAGAGAGAGAGAGAGAGAGAGAGAGAGAGUGGUGCUGGAAAAAUGCAACUAAAGAACACAAGUAUGGAAGAAGAACAAGAAAACUAAGGGAAAUCACUUCUAAUUUCUGAAUUUGGAGUCUUAGGUCGCGCGCUAUCGUCUGUUCUACUCCUGGAGCUGUCUGUGAUCAAGCGUGUGACCAGGUCUAGAGCUUCUACCUAGACUCUGUUUUGUCAGCCAACCUAUGUGCCUCCCAUGGAGGUUCCGGAUAUGUCAAGUGGUUAUGGCUAUGUGCAUAAAGUUCAAGUUUUGUUUUCUUGUUUUGGUUUAACGAGUGUUCUUGUUUAUUCUGUAUUUAGGGAUAAGUCUCUUUUUGUCUAGCCUAUAUAUAUGAUGAUAUGUAAAUGUAUGUACAUAAAGUUUAAAAUUUUAUGUCUCAUAUAAAUCUGUACAGCUCAAUGGACGUUGUAUAUUUGUUA